ACACCAUGAUGAGGACAUUGACGUUAUAAAUGUUUAAACCUUUCCCAAGCCUCAUAUAAAGAAUCCCCAUGAUAUGAAACUAGUUAUAUAGUUUAGCAGUUU